UGAAACCAUCUCAGCCUGGACUUCAUUGGUC
rnacentral:piRNA from 1 species